UCCAUUGUUGGUGGCAAGAUAGUACCAUUCCGGCAACAUUUUGGGAUCAUCCCCAUGGUUGUAUCGUUUGCCUUUGUCAGAGGCAGGUCAAUAAUCGUCGGCCUCCUCUCACAGUUCAACACAUUGCCAAAGUCUAGAUCCCUAUAGUCCUUGCGGACCGAAUAUGCAGUCUGAUGAAUCAACGACAUACGGAUAAGCCCCUUUCAUCGUAUAUAUAAAUUCAUCCCUCAUCCAAUCAAAACUCAAUUUCCAAUUAUCAAGUCGCCCAAGGGGGUUAUGGUUUGAGAUAGUAACCUGUGCCCAAUAGUUCGAGUCGUACGUUCUCGUCACAUCAUACAUAAUUGUAAGAUCACCACUUUGCCGAG
rnacentral:lncRNA from 1 species